rnacentral:rRNA from 1 species
AAUUGGAAUGAGAACAAGCUAAACAGCUUAUCGAGAAUCCAGCAGAGGGCAAGUCUGGUGCCAGCAGCCGCGGUAAUUCCAGCUCUGUAAGCGUAUACCAAAGUUGUUGCAGUUAAAACGCUCGUAGUCGGAACUUGGCAGUUCCGGAUGUGUGCACGUCGUGUGCGCACUUUGCGGGGACUGCUUUUGUGGUCUUGCGUAGGAUGAGGCACUUUUAUUAGUGAACGUCCUCACGCAGCCACUCUUUACUGUGAGAAAAUCAGAGUGCUCAAAGCAGGCAUUUGCCGUGAAUGUAUUAGCAUGGAAUAAUAGAAUAGGACUUGGUUCUAUUUUGUUGGUUUGUUGGGACUGAGUAAUGAUUAAGAGGGACAGUUGGGGGCAUUUGUAUUUCGGCGCUAGAGGUGAAAUUCUUAGAUUGCCGAAAGACAAACUGCUGCGAAAGCGUCUGCCAAGGAUGUUUUCAUUGAUCAAGAACGAAAGUAAGGGGAUCGAAGACGAUCAGAUACCGUCGUAGUCUUUACUAUAAACGAUGAGGACUGGGGAUCGGGCGAGGAAUUACGAUGACCCGCCCGGCACCCUUCGAGAAAUCAAAGUGUUUGCUUUCUGGGGGGAGUAUGGUCGCAAGGCUGAAACUUAAAGGAAUUGACGGAAGGGCAUCACCGGGUGUGGAGCCUGCGGCUUAAUUUGACUCAACACGGGAAAACUUACCAGGUCAGGACAUAGUGAGGAUUGACAGAUUGAGAGCUCUUUCUUGAUUCUAUGGUUGGUGGUGCAUGGCCGUUCUUAGUUGGUGGAGUGAUUUGUCUGGUUAAUUCCGUUAACGAGCGAGACCUGGGCGUGCUAACUAGGGGCUACUACCAUUUUGGUAGUACGCUUACCCUUCUUAGACGGACUGUGGGCGUCUAGCCCACGGAAGCUCCAGGCAAUAACAGGUCUGAGAUGCCCUUAGAUGUUCUGGGCCGCACGCGUGCUACNCUGAGUGGAUCAGCGGGUNANGUUGCNCGAAAGUGUUUCCUAAUCUUUAAAUCCGCUCGUGAUGNGGAUUGACGGUUGCNAUUUUCCGUCAUNAACGANGAAUACCUUGUAANCGCGNGUCAUCAUCCCGCGCUGAAUACGUCCCUGCCCUUUGUACCACCGCCCGUCGCUCCUACCGAUUGAGUGGUCCGNUGAGGCUUUNGGAUCUGGGCGGAAAGAGCGUUUCGCUGUUUCUGCCCGGAAACUCAGUCNACCUUAUCUUUAGAGGAGGAGA